ensembl:lncRNA
GACUUUUUGAAGUAAAGAGGAGCAUCUCAUCUGAACCUGAUGUCUAUCAUGGAAAUUUAACUGCAAUUCUGUGUCUGCCUCCUCACCCAGAGCAAGACCUCCACCUCCUCACCCAGAGCCAGACCUCCACCUCCUGCCAGAAGUCCUCCAGAACAGCUGAAAGGUGAGGCUGAGAGGCUGGGGACCGGAGGCUUGUGGUGCCAGGAUGGACCGGAGACUGAGGCUGGAUACCAGGGGCCUGCAGCACCGGACCAGAGGACCAGGAAACUAUGUCUGGGGGAGCCGAGCUGAUGGAGGAGCCGAGCUGAUGGAGGAGCCGAGCUGAUGGAGGAGCCGUGCUGAUGGAGGAGCCGGGCUGAAGGAGCUGAUGGAGGAGCCGUGCUGAAGGAGCUGAUGGAGGAGUCGUGCUGAGGGCCCUGCCUGGUGGAGGAGCUGGUGGAGGCCCUGCCUUGUGAAGGACGUCUCAUGGGACCAGGACUCUGUCUGAGGAGAGCUGCUGGAUUCCUCAACGUGUUUCUGGAGCGGAGGCAAGCUGGUAGGGGAGCCGUGAAUCUGGAGGAUGACCAUCACUCUACCAACAAGGAUUACCAGGACUCUGGCUGAGGUGAGCUGAUGGAGGAGCCAAGACUCUGGAGGACAACAUCACUCUACCAACCAGGAUCCUCACCAGGAAUCUGGAGGACUGAUGGAGAAGCCGUACAUCUGGAAGGCAAAUCCUGAGGACAAACAGGACUCUACCAUCAAGGAUUCCUUACACACCUGAGCUGAACCUCACCUGAUCCUGUUUGGUCGGGGGUAGACACACCUGAGCUGAACCCGCCCUGAUCCUGACAUCCUGCUGGUCCCGUCUCCUCAGUUCAUCUGCGCCUCGUCCUCCAGAUGACCUGCUGAGCUCAGCAGUCUGAGGCUGAUGGAUCAAUGACCUCCAGUGGGAGUGAUCUUCUUGACCCCACAUGUAACCGUGUGCUUCCACACGCCUUUCCCUCACGUCUGUCACUAACCUCACUACUCCACUACUCUCUACUGCUUCCUCUUCUUCUUCCUUCUCUGUGGUUCGAACCUUUACACCGAAGGCGCGUCUUCCUGCCCUCAGAGGGUUUAUCGUUAGGGUUGAGAGUCAGGGUUUAGAGUCAGGGACAGAGCUGGUCAGGGAGGACUGCUUUUACACAAACCUCUUCACUUCCUGUCGGAAUGGUGGUGACAUUUCGAAAAGAUGCAUUUGGGGAAAUGUUUUCCUCUGCUUUCCUUUACAAAAUUGUAUUAAACAUCUGUCAAGUGUUUUUGUUUAUAUAUUAAAAUCCCACAUUGACUUCUACAUGUUUGGUGCGGUGGCAAGCUGGUAGGGGAGCCGUGAAUUUGGAGGAUGACCAUCACUCUACCAACAAGGAUUGUAAGUUUGUAUUAACCUAACAAAGUGGAAAUAAAGGGCUUAAAAAUAAGACAAACUACAUGUUUGUUACCAGACGUUAGGGCCAGUCUCGCGCUGUUUGUUCCAGACCAGGACUCUGGCUGAGGUGAGCUGAUGGAGGAGCCAAGACUCAGGAGGACAACAUCACUCUACCAACCAGGAUCCUCGUAAGUUUGCAUAAAAUAAACAGAGUGGACUUGUUGUAACGAAGGAUUAGUUUGUCCAGUGUUUGUUACCUUGCAUUAGAGCCCAACUACUCCUGUGUUUGUUACCUGAUAUUAGAGACAAAUUAGUACUGUUUGUUACCUUACAUUAGAGACAAAUUACGUUUGUAACCAGACCAGGAAUCUGGAGGACUGAUGGAGAAGCCGUACAUCUGGAAGGCAAAUCCUGAGGACAAACAGGACUCUACCAUCAAGGAUUCCUCACACACCUGAGCUGAAUCCGCCCUGAUCCUGACAUCCUGCUGGUCCCGUCUCCUCAGUUCAUCUGCGCCUCGUCCUCCAGAAGACCUGCUGAGCUCAGCAGUCUGAGGCUGAUGGAUCAAUGACCUCCAGUGGGAGUGAUCUUCUUGACCCCACAUAACCCACGUAACCGUGUGCUUCCACACGACUUUCCCUCACGUCUGUCACUAACCUCACUACUUCACUACUCUCUACUGCUUCCUCUUUUCUUCCUUCUCUGUGGUUCAAACCUUUACACUGAAGGCGCGUCUUCCUGCCCUCAGAGGGUUUAGCGUUAGGGUUGAGAGUCAGGGUUUAGAGUCAGGGACAGAGCUGGUCAGGGAGGACUGCUUUUACACAAACCUCUUUACUUCCUUUCGGAAUGGUGGUGACAUUUCGAAAAGAUGCAUUUGGGGAAAUGUUUUCCUCUGCUUUCCUUUGCAAAAUUGUAUUAAGCUUCUGUCAAGUGUUGUUUAUAUAUUAAAAUCCCAC